CCAAGACCAAUAAUAUAUCUCAAAACUCAAAAUAAUUUUUAAAAGUGUAUAAAGUGUGUAAGCUGAUAAUAAAACAUCCAAAGGGUAUUUAUAGAUACAAAAGAAACCAUAUCCUAAAAAGUGUAGGAAACUAGAGUCGACAUCAACUCAUGAUUCGUGGGUUGAGUUGUAGGUACAACCCACGAAUCGUGUCUUGGAUCAUGGAAAUCAGAGUGAAAUCUUCAACUUGGUAGAAUCUCCUACCUAAAAGGCAACCUACCAGUUGUAGGUGGUACCUUCUCCUCGUAGGUAGGCUCGUGGGAAUCAGACUGUAUUUUCUAUCUUCAAAACUCAAACCAUGUGUCACCUUAUAGCUCAUAGGUACAACCCACAAGUCGUACGUUGACUCAUGGGUAGCCUUCGUAGCAACCCUUCACCCUUUUUUAUCAUUCUUUGCUACAAACUCUAUUUUCCUGCAAAAUCAACACAAGCACACAUCACAUACAACAAGAAUACCUAAGUACUUGCAUAAUUUCCUUAUUUUAUGACUCUAAAGUGCCAUGAAAUCAUGGAACAUCAAUUCCCUCAACUUAGAUCGUUUGCAUGUCCUUGGGAAACUAACACAAAACUUAACAAACACGAUGCUUAACUAAAAGAAGCCUAAGACACCUACAGCAGUCAACUCAUUUUAGCUCUCAAAUUCAUUGCCCCCUCCUAUUCAUAACUUUCAAAACCACUAUGUGGAUCCAUGUAGAAGAAUAGUAUGACGCAAAAAUAGUCAAGUGAUGACAUUAUAUUAGCAACAAACAACCACGCGUAUAUGCAAUUGACACUACCCAAACAAAUAAGUAGUUAACAAUAAAACUCAUGUACCCUAAUAGCAAGGAAUUCCCGACUCGAAUAGGAUCAUAAUGCAUGUCAAUGUAGGGACUACAUCAAACACUCACACUCUCAAAGAAGUUCAAACAAUAUACAUAGAAUACCAUAGGCUUGCCUUUGGUAUCUAUACCUUAGUUUUUCGAAUAGGCGGACUGGGAUCACUAUAGGAUGUUUCGAGGCUUGUAAUGUAGGCUCAGGGGUAGGUAUGGUACGUAUGAGACAUAGUGACUCACCGUCCUUGACACUACACUUACAUUAUUGGCUCCACUACUUAAUCAUGCUUCUUUUAUUCUCUCUUUUUCUCUUUUAUUACUAUUCAGAUUAGGUAUGGUUUCCUUCAUUCUUUGCAUUUAUAUUUUUUCUUUUUCUUUUAUUUUUCUCUUUCUUUGCUUUCACACUUUUCUACCACACCCAACCCUACUUUCUUUUCUUUUAUUCAACAUCUUCUUUAUACCCAUCUUCAACUAUGCACCCCUACAAUAGCAACCCUCAACUUAGGUGAUUUGCCUGAGUUGAGGUACAUAGUGUCUAAGGCGGGACAAAGGCCAACACAUGUUCAUUAUAAUGAAAUAAGAAGGUGAAAAGUUUAAAACAAGAAAUAGGUCAAUUUAGACUCAAAUCAGGUAUCAGUAUCUAUAUUUAGUCGGUAUUUUAAGCUACGAGUGAACUUAUUCAAACAUGGCCAAUGAUGAUGUCCCAACUAAAUAUCCUACAGCCUAGGCAAGACUAACUGGGCAAGUUCUAGAUUAAAUACACAAAGUAAACUAGGUAAAUGUCUCACAUACAUGAUAUAGGGUUACAUUAUCAACUACUACCUAACUGGUUCAUGCAAUACUAAGAUAUGGUUAUUUUGUCCCUAAUAUUAAUGCCAUAAUAAGAUUCAACAAUAGUCACACAUAUAUUCACAACACACAGUUAACAAAAAUUUUAGGAGGGGUAUCAUUAAACACAUAAAAACACAAGACAUUUUGACUGCACUUUUCUUUCUUAUUUUUCUUCUAAUUGAACAAAACAACACAUAAAACAAACCAUGAACAUAUCAUAAUAACCUAGACAUGUUAGUUCUACUAUGAUAACAAACUCUUGAGAAAAGAGACACGACAAUGAAAACCCCAAGAGGACAUCUAGACCCGCAAUUAUCCCUACCCCCAUCGCAUAAUCAUGCAUUAUCUCUAAUGUAUUAGGCAGCAGCAAAGCAAGAGGGUUAGUAACAUACUGGUGGAACCUUAGGUGUAUAGAUCUAAUGUCAAUCACAAUAACACAAAUUUUUAGAAAUAACAAAACACCUUGGGUUGCCUUGCAAGCAAUGCUUAAUUUAAUGUUGCGGCACAACGUGAGGACCUUGAUUACUCAGACUUCAUCAAGGUAGUUAUAAGGUUAGCUUCUAAGAUCAUUUAAAUUGUUUAUUACUGAAACCACCCUCAUAUCUGUUGGGUGCUUUAAAUUUCUAUGAACAUUGAAUGUGACUUACUGAUUAUUCAACUUAAACUUACGCUUACCUCUUUCCAUAUCCACCAAUGCUCUCUCCCUAUCUAAAAUUUUCUUUCCAAAACUAUGGGCAUCUCAAAAUCAACGUCACAAUCCAAGUCAGCAAUGUCAGUCAGAGAGAUGAAGUUGUCCACCUUAACCAAAACAUUAAAUGAUAUGCCCACAAAUUUCUUAACAGUACGGUCUACUACUAAUAACCACAUCUUCAUGGGUUCGGUAGGUCUCAAGCCUAAUUUUUUGAACACUGCCAGCGACAUCAAGUUAAUUCUUGCACCCAAGUCACACAAAUCCCUGAAAAAUAUAGAUUAUCCAAUCAUACAAGAAAUUGUGAAGGAGCCAGGGUCACUUUUCUUUUGUACAAAAGAUCGAGAUGUAACCACACUAUAAUGAUAAAAAACCACCAACAUCCUCAUAACUAACAAUUCUCUUCUUUUUCACCAAAUCCUUCAUAAAUUUUGCAUAACUAGGCACCUAUUCUAGUGCUUCAAGAUGAAGGAUAUUCAUAUUCAACUCCUUCAGCAUAGAAAUAAACUUCUUAUACUAUUCUUCGCUAGCUUUCUACUUCAAUCACUGGGGAAAUGGUUAAGAAGGUUGGAGAAUAUGCUUCAGUGGUGGUGUGACCUCCUUACCCUUAUUUUAUCAUUGUCAACUCUUUUCUCUACAAUGGUAUGCUUCUAACAUCUCACUGUUUAUCGCUAACUUUUCAAUUUCAUUUUUAUCUGUAUCAUCAAUGUCCAUUAGGUCAUUCCUCACACAAUCAACCACAGAUGUAUGGAUCAAUAAUGGGCUUAACCAUCCUAGUAGUUAUAUCUAAACAAUGAAUAUCAUUCUUAAAAUUCUUAAUUAUGUUGCUAGGAAAAGUUCCUAGUUGACGCUGAAUCAAAGUAACAUACAUCUUCCUAAACAACUGCUCAAGAUGCUAAAUCGCAGUUCUCAACCCUGAUAUGUUUGCCUUAAUCUCCUUUAGGAAAUUAUCUUGGCUCUCUGAACCAUUCAUAAGAUUAGCAAGCAAUGGUUCCAUUUUCAAAAUUUUAGACUCAAGAUCACGAUUCCUUAGUGGAACAUAAAGACUAUUCUUUUUCUUGUAAUCAUUCUUUCUCCUCCAAUCACUAUCACGUUAUCUACUCUUAUCCCUAUGCCUAUCUCCGUAGUAGUUCCAACCUUGAUUCCCUUGCCUUGAGUUCUAAGUGUCUUGGUUAGACCCUUGGCCCUUGUCUUAGAAACCAAUCAUCUCUCUGUCCAAGUGCUUUGCUUCUUCUUCAGAAUCACUCUUCCUAUCUAGAUGCCUUACCUCGAAAACCUAUUACAUUUAUCUUUUCUGCUCCCAUAGCUAUACUUACUUAGUAGCAAACCAAUCUUAGUCCUUAGCUCUACUACCUCUUGUUACACUGACUCAUCUAAGGCCCUUUCUUUACUAGAAGCACCAAUAGCAUAAGUAUCGGCUAACCUGUCUGCCUCCUGAGUUUACCACUGUAAUGCCCUGAGUCUGUACCCCGAAUGCUAUAUGAUGCUCGUAAUCCGAAAGGACCAUAAGCUAAACUAUGACUGGUACCUGUUGUAAUAACUGAAUAACAAUAAUACUGAAAUAUGCAUAAAUUUGGCAGAAAACAUGUCAUAAGGUUCAAUACUAUAAAUAAUACUAAAUAUGGUAUCACAAUACCAAAAACUAAACAUCAAUACUGAAAACUGAUCAACUGUCUGAAAAUACUCUAGUCUGAAAACCCUCUAAACUAUCUGAACUGUGGAGUUGAUGAGACAGGUCCCCAACUAACUCCGACAACUGAAAAUGAACUGAAAUGCUGAAUUUCCAUCGACAUAAUGUUUAUGUAACAAUGUGUUGUCAAGUUGUUAAGAGAGGGUGUCAAAAGUGUGGUGAAUAUGUCAAGGAACUAUGCUCACGAAUUACACUGUGAAGGUGUAAUAAACUAAUGAGAAUAUAACAAAAAAUUAAAAAUGCAUCAACAUGCUAAGGAACACAAUGAUGUACUUAAUCUAAUGUUUAACAUAAUAAAAAUGCUCAAAAACAAACAUUUUCACACACUAGCAAUCAUGCUAAUAGUGCGGAAAUUUAAUAUUAAUAUACUAGGAAAUGCUAAAAAUAUCUAAAAUCUAAUAUUUAACAGGCUGAAAUUAAUGAUUUUAUGCAGAAACGCAGUUUAGACAUGAUGAAAUUUAAUUGUUUUAUGCGGAAAUACUUUUUUAACAUGCCAAAAUUUAAUAUUAGCACACUGAAAAAUGCAUUAACGUUAUUGUUUUUGACAUGCUGAAAAAUAUGUUAAUGCGCAGGAAUUUUUAUGUUAAUCAUGCUACAAUUUUAACAUGGACAUGCUUAAUUCUAAUGUUCAAUAUGCUACAAACAUAUUAAUAUGCAGAAAUUUAAUUGUUGACAUGCUCAAAAAUACUAACAUGUAAUAAGUAGUUUUAAUAUGCUGAAAUUUAGUUUAACAUGCCUAGAUUCAUUUUAAUGUGUAGAAAUUUAAUACUAUAGUGAUCUAAUAAUACUGAAAUACGUGUGAAUGUGCAAAGACAUGCUCUAAUUAUGCGGAAAUUUGUUUUAAUGUGCUGAAACAUAUUAACACGUCAAAAUCUAUUUUAAUAUGCAUACAACAUUUAAAUCCUAAAAGCAUGAUUUCUAAUCGGAUUAAUAAGUAGAUUAAUUGUCUAAGCGGUUCAUAUGUUAAUAAAUCCUAGGUUUGUGUGCCUAAAUAAUCCACAUAGCAUGUAACACACGUAAAACCUAAUUUGUGUCUAUCUAUACUAUUCAUAGAGCACGUAAAUCCCCUCCCCAAAAACAGUCCCCAAUAUUUAUUAUUACAUCAAUAGUAAUGUUUGUACAACAAUAUUACAAACCAAAUAAUAAGAAAAUAAAACUAAUACAAUCUAUUGUAAACACCCCGGCGACUCUUGCGAUUUCCAAAACAUCACUUAAUAAUACCUGUUUGAUACAAAUCGAAAGAGCACGAAAAGCACAAAAGAAACAACACAUGAUCCUAAACCACACAUUGUUUCAAACAGAGGAACCAAAGAAGAGACAUGCAUAUUAAGCAAGCAUUGUUUCAAAUUAGUGCCUAUAGACAUACUUACUAACACACUAAAUCAUUCAAUGGACAAAUAAAUAAGUAAUUAUAUCGUUUAGAUACUUACUGAUGAGCAGCGAUAAAAGAAAUAAUAAGAAUAAUAAAGCCAAUCCUUUGUAAGAGUAAUAUGCAGGAUGCUUCCUUAAGGUCCAAAAAAAAUACAAGAGGGUUUAAAGAUAUUUCUCCUCGUGUUUAAAAAAGCGAAUAGCUCUUUUGUUUUUAGAGAGUAGUGAUUGUAACUGAAGAGAUGUCCGAAGAAGAGAAGAGGGGGUCCCUUUUUAUAGUAAAGGAAUUGUGAGAGGAAAAUAAAGAGAAAAUAUUCAGCAAAUCAAUGUAGAAGUUAUUUCCCCGAAAUCAAUGGGCAGAAUCAAAAUAGCUUUGCAAAUUAUGUCAAAAUUACCAAAAAUAAGCUUGAUGAAAAAAGUUGUCCAAGUAAAGGAAAAAGGCAAGACAAUCAGUCAAGAAAAUAAAAAAAAGGUAAAGAAAUAUUCAAAAUAAUCAAUCAACCACAUUAAAUGAGAAGAAAAUUAUCAUAAUAACUACUACUGCAAGGCUCAAUAUACGUAAAAAGGAAAGCAAAAUCACAUAUUAUUAAAUUGGAAUCUGUCAAGGGAUGCAUUUCCUUAAAAUUGAUCACGAGUGUAAAUUAUGUCAAUGUAUUCCAAAAAUAAAUAAUUAGGAAAAUCAGUAAAUAAAGCACUGGAUCAGUGGGAAAUUACAUGAAGAAUGAUGUCACUAAGCAACCACAAUUAAUUGUAGAUGAGCGAGAUAGAGUCUAUGACAAGAUCAGUCUCGUCUAAUAAGAGAGAAACAAACACAUGCAAUAGCUAGCUACCUUAUGGUCACGGGAACAACUAAAAUCACUGUAAUGACACAACAAAAAAUAAUGGAUAAUAGAACGGUGUCCAAAUAAUCACGCAAGAAAAUGUAACAGUAAUAAAAUAAACUUGCACACCAAACCUAACUAACAAAUUAAUUUCAAUUAAAGCAAAAAGUUUCAAAAAAUAAAGCUAACAGUGAUCGAUAUUGUGCAGAAAAGGUUAUUCCUGCCAGAUCUGAAACGAAAACGGGAGGGGUGCCUAGUGGAGGCUCUCUGGUUGACUGGCUGGUUGGCUAGUUUUCCGCUGGCCAGAAAAUGAUGGAGCAACGAGGGGAUAUGGCUGGCGGCGGAGGCGUUCGCCGUUGUGGCAGCGGCUGUGGAGAAGGAUUCUCCGGCUAAAUGGUGAAUCGAUGGCCAGAGUUGAAAGGGGAGUUUACGCCGGCUAUUUCAGCCUGUGGGUGGACCACUCGUGGCUGGGUUUGGUUCGCCGUUGGUUGGAUGGAGAAAGAGGAGGUGGACUGGUGGUGCUCCGACCAUCAGGUGGCCAGAGAGGGAGACUGGAGCAGCAGCAGCAGUGGGGUUUUGGGCGCUGAUGACGGAGAGAGAGGGGAAAGGGGCUCGUCAGCGGUGGGAUAGCCGGCGGAGUCCAUAGUUGUAGCUUUGGUUAUUGUUGGAUAGUGAUAGAGGGAAGAAGAGAGGAAGGAAAGGGGGAGGCGAAUGGUGAAAGAAAAAAUGAUGGAUUAGGGUUUAUGUUUCCUUUGAAAGGAAAGGAUAGAGUAGGGUGAUCUCAGCCAUUGGAUCAAAAGAAUUGGGACCCUUUAAAUGUGGCUAGAAUUGUAAUAACUUGUGUAAAGUUAGGCUAAGAUUGUUAUAAAUUAGAUGUAAAAGGUUAGAGUUUAAAUAAAUUAAAUUAAGUCAGGC
rnacentral:lncRNA from 1 species